rnacentral:rRNA from 1 species
GAUGAACGCUGGCGGCGUGCCUAAUACAUGCAAGUCGAGCGAAUGGAUUAAGAGCUUGCUCUUAUGAAGUUAGCGGCGGACGGGUGAGUAACACGUGGGUAACCUGCCCAUAAGACUGGGAUAACUCCGGGAAACCGGGGCUAAUACCGGAUAACAUUUUGAACCGCAUGGUUCGAAAUUGAAAGGCGGCUUCGGUUGUCACUUAUGGAUGGACCCGCGUCGCAUUAGCUAGUUGGUGAGGUAACGGCUCACCAAGGCAACGAUGCGUAGCCGACCUGAGAGGGUGAUCGGACACACUGGGACUGAGACACGGCCCAGACUCCUACGGGAGGCAGCAGUAGGGAAUCUUCCGCAAUGGACGAAAGUCUGACGGAGCAACGCCGCGUGAGUGAUGAAGGCUUUCGGGUCGUAAAACUCUGUUGUUAGGGAAGAACAAGUGCUAGUUGAAUAAGCUGGCACCUUGACGGUACCUAACCAGAAAGCCACGGCUAACUACGUGCCAGCCGCCGCCGUAA